rnacentral:lncRNA from 1 species
UGUGGCUGGGUGGCUGUAGCUGCACCUGGGGAGCAUGAGGCUCCCACCCUGCCAGUUUGGAAGGGGGUGGGAUUCCACCGGUCCCUGCCUCCUGCCAGCUUUGUGGAGCACACGGCCCUGGCCACACCUCCCCAGCUGUAGCUGGCAUCAUGGCAGUGGCCGCUCCCAGACUGGCUGCCACUGCCAUCAAUUUGACCUUUCGUUAAGUACACCCCUUUCUCAUCUCCGUCUGCAUGCAUGAGUCCUGCAACAGAGGCAGCGGCCAGCGCACAUGCACACACACUCUUCACAGUAUCAAGAGGCUGCAGCGGUGCUUCUAGGCCAGUAGCACAUAAAAGAAACCUGAGGAGAUGGCCUGCUGCCUGGGGAUGAACGUCUCCAGGUGCCCGUGCAGCUGGCCACACCACACGGUGACGAAGGAGGUGGCAGAAUCCGCUGCAGGGAUGCGGUGACGAAGGAAGUGGCAGAGUCCGCUGCAGGAGGGGAGGCCGGUGCAGAAUUAAACAAUCUGGACCUUUCCAAGUUGGCCAAUAGGCUACUUGUGACUAUACCGGUGAUACCAUAAAGAACAGGCCAGGCGCAGUGGCUCACGCCUGUAAUCCCAGCACUUUGGGAGGCCGAGGCAGGCGGAUCACGAGGUCAAGAGACCGAGACCAUCCUGGCCAACACGGUGAAACCCCUCGUCUCUCCUAAAAAUACAAAAAUUAGCCGGGUGUGGUGGCUCACGCCUGUAGUCCCAGCUACUUGGGAGGCUGAGGCAGCAGAACUGCUUGAACCUGGGAGGCGGAGGCUGCAGUGAGCUGAGAUUGUGCCACUGCACUCCAGCCUGGCAACAGAGCAAGAGAAAAAAAAAAAAAAAGAACUGAAGAAGAACCAACUGCAGACGGUAAGGUGAUUUCCAUCUAAGAUAUAACUAGACCAACAGAAAAUAACUUAGUUGAAGGAACCGAAAGCCACAGAAGUAUAAUAUCAGCAAAAGGAGCUGAGGAGCUGCAGGAACCCUGGCUCGAUGGCCGGCCAGGACCCAGAAGGCCACAGCAAAUGAGAGGGGGAGACUCGAUAGCUCAUUUGGAAAAAGCGAUGGACUAGGAUGGGAAGCCGUGGCUCCUCGACCCUGCAGACCCUGGCACUGAGUGAUACCCGAGGCAACGCCAUAGCCGUGACGAGGUCAGAUGAAGACGUAGAACACCACAGAGGCUGCAAGAGUGUGGCCUUUCCCUGCAUUCUUCCUGCAACAUUUCUGUAAGCUUUUGAAGUUUUAUCAAAAAGUUACCAAAAAAUUUUUAAGUGCUAUAAUGAGUGACUUCUAAUUCCACAUAAAUCAUCCAACUUCCAUAAGCAACUAGAAAACCAGGACAAAUACCGUAAACAAUUGUUUUUGGACACUGGGUGCUGGGUGUCACGGGCUUGUGAUCCCUGAGAGAACGGAAAUAAACAGCUGCCCUGUGUCCGGCUUGCAGGUAGUUUCAGGCAGUCCCAGGCCACAGUGCAGAGACGGGGAGCCCAGCACUUUCAGGGAACAGGAGACAGAGACUGGGGCUCCAGGGAGGCUGAGGUGGUGACAAUUUGCAGGACAGAGCACUGGAGAGGGGAAAGCUUCCAAGGUCUGCAGGAGAGGCCCCUGGGGUCUUUGACUAAGUAUUCAUCUGCUCAAGGGUAGAGUGACAACCCAUGAGGCAGAGAAAAAACAGCGGGAAGGCGGUAGGCCAAAUGCCCAGAGCUCACAAAAGGGACUGAGAAGAGUUUACAGUCCCCAAAGAGA